rnacentral:rRNA from 1 species
GUGAGGAAUUUUGGACAAUGGGGGAAACCCUGAUCCAGCGACGCCGCGUGAAGGAUGAAGGUCUUCGGAUUGUAAACUUCUUUUAUUCGGGAAUAAGAAAUCUAUGGAAACAUAGGGAGUGAAUGUACCGAAUGAAUAAGCCACGGCUAACUUCGUGCCAGCAGCCGCGGUAAUACGAAGGUGGCAAGCGUUACUCGGAAUUACUAGGCGUAAAGGGCAGGUAGGUGGUUUGAUAAGUCUGUUGUGAAAGCUCCCGGCUUAACUGGGAGAGGUCAACAGAAACUAUCAGGCUUGAGUAUGGGAGAGGGUACUGGAAUUCCCGGUGUAGCGGUGAAAUGCGCAGAGAUCGGGAGGAACACCUAUGGCGAAAGCAGGUACCUGGACCAUUACUGACACUCAGCUGCGAAAGCUAGGGGAGCAAACAGGAUUAGAUACCCGGGUAGUCC